GAACAACCAAAUGUGGUGGUGGAUCAAAUGCCUUCUGUACAGACCUCCCAUCUGCAGGCCCUGAAGAGGUGAGCCAGAGCUCGGAGGAAGGGAGACACAUUGGACUGAAUUUGAGAAUAAUAUUUUAGAUUCCUCACAUGGGAUUUGGGGUUUUUACCAAAAGGUCAUCAGAAAUUCUGUGUCUUACCCAAGAUGAACUUAAGAAGCAGGCGAGGAAGAUGAAGAAACUCUGGUUGCAAACAGGCCACCUUCGGAAGGUGCUCACUGGAGGGAUGACCCUCUUCUAACUUCAUAGCACAAGUUUUUCCAGAAGAGAUGUGUGAAGAUUCAGACAUGGUAGAAUGUGUGACUGGCUUACAGGGGGAGUCUUAAUUCCUGACCAAACUGAAGUGGACAGACUCAACUGGAAAUACUUUCUGACCUAGCAGCAGUGACAAGACCACAGGCAUUCAUCUUCUCUUAUACUUCAAAAGACCCAAGAAAGAAGUUUCUCUGAUUCAAAUUUGUACCAUCAACACAUUGGAGGGAACAUUGUUUAUUUGGUAGAUGAAUUUAUGAAUGGUUUUCUCUUUAUUGGAAACAUUAAAGAAGC